rnacentral:snRNA from 1 species
UCAUGGGAAUCCUGGCUUCUGCAGCGCCUUGGCUUGCAGCCUGUUGAUGUUUCUCCGCAGGUGUCCCCUUCCUCCCUCACCGAUCAAUGUACGUCUCUUCCAAAGCUGCAUGCUCAGUCAAAGAGGACGACCUUCCCUGAUAAUGAAAGACAAUGCUUAACUCAGAACUCAACAGGAAAAUAAAAUAAAUCAUUAAAAAGCUUCUGUCUUUAAGAAAUAACUCUAACUAAACAAACAUGACAUUUUAAAUUAAAUUUAAUGCUUAAUUUAAUAAAAGAAAUUUUGCUGUUUAGGUUUUUUAACAUCUGAUGUAUCCAUUUCAAU